GACGGGGGGAGCAAGCGUUGUUCGGAUUUACUGGGCGUAAAGGGCGUCUAGGCGGGCUUUCAAGUCGAGUGUGAAACCCCACGGCUCAACCGUGGAUCUGCACUCGAUACUGUGAGUCUUGAGUACGGAAGAGGAAAGCGGAAUUCCAGGUGUAGCGGUGAAAUGCGUAGAUAUCUGGAAGAACACCGGUGGCGAAGGCGGCUUUCUGGUCCGAUACUGACGCUGAAGCGCGAAAGUGUGGGGAGCAAACAGG
rnacentral:rRNA from 1 species